rnacentral:rRNA from 1 species
UUCCGGUUGCCUAAUACAUGCAAGUCGAGCGGACAGAUGGGAGCUUGCUCCCUGAUGUUAGCGGCGGACGGGUGAGUAACACGUGGGUAACCUGCCUGUAAGACUGGGAUAACUCCGGGAAACCGGGGCUAAUACCGGAUGCUUGAUUGAACCGCAUGGUUCAAUUAUAAAAGGUGGCUUUUAGCUACCACUUACAGAUGGACCCGCGGCGCAUUAGCUAGUUGGUGAGGUAACGGCUCACCAAGGCAACGAUGCGUAGCCGACCUGAGAGGGUGAUCGGCCACACUGGGACUGAGACACGGCCCAGACUCCUACGGGAGGCAGCAGUGGGGAAUCUUCCGCAAUGGACGAAAGUCUGACGGAGCAACGCCGCGUGAGUGAUGAAGGUUUUCGGAUCGUAAAACUCUGUUGUUAGGGAAGAACAAGUACCGUUCGAAUAGGGCGGUACCUUGACGGUACCUAACCAGAAAGCCACGGCUAACUACGUGCCAGCAGCCCGCGGUAAUACGUAGGUGGCAAGCGUUGUCCGGAAUUAUUGGGCGUAAGCGCGCGCAGGCGGUUUCUUAGUCUGAUGUGAAAGCCCCCGGCUCAACCGGGGAGGGUCAUUGGAAACUGGGGAACUUGACUGCAGAAGAGGAGAGUGGAAUUCCACGUGUAGCGGUGAAAUGCGUAGAGAUGUGGAGGACACCCAGUGGGCGAAGGCGACUCUCUGGUUCUGUAACUGACGCUGAGGCGCGAAAGCGUGGGGAGCGAACAGGAUUAGAUACCCUGGUAGUACACGCUGUAAACGAUGAGUGCUAAGUGUUAGAGGGUUUCCGCCCUUUAGUGCUGCAGCAAACGCAUUAAGCACUCCGCCUGGGGAGUACGGUCGCAAGACUGAAACUCAAAGGAAUUGACGGGGGCCCGCACAAGCGGUGGAGCAUGUGGUUUAAUUCGAAGCAACGCGAAGAACCUUACCAGGUCUUGACAUCCUCUGACAACCCUAGAGAUAGGGCUUCCCCUUCGGGGGCAGAGUGACAGGUGGUGCAUGGUUGUCGUCAGCUCGUGUCGUGAGAUGUUGGGUUAAGUCCCGCAACGAGCGCAACCCUUGAUCUUAGUUGCCAGCAUUCAGUUGGGCACUCUAAGGUGACUGCCGGUGACAAACCGGAGGAAGGUGGG